GCCCUGCUGGCUCAAUGGUAGAGCAUCAGACUUCUAAGACAGGUUGAAUGGAUCUCGCCAUAACUUACGUCUAGACAUCUGAAGGUUGUGGGUUCGAGUCCCACGUAGGGUG